rnacentral:lncRNA from 1 species
GACAUCGAUAAAGAAAUUAACUAAUUAAUCGACUAAGACACAUGAGAACGACUAAACAAAUAAUCAAGCGAUCUACUUAGAAAUUAAAAGAAAAUAAUAAAAAUGAAUAAAAAUUUACUUAAAUAAAUAAUUACUAAAAAAAUUAAAUUAAAUCAAGAUAAAUAAUAAUAAUAAUAAAUCAAAUAAAUAGAAACAAGAAGUGCAUAUUAAUAAAUGAGGGUGCAAGUAGAA